rnacentral:lncRNA from 1 species
AGAGAGGGGUUGUGUGUGGAGGACGAGGGAGGGAAGUCAGUUGCUCCCUCCCCUAAAAAGUUCCCCUCCCAUCAGUGCUCCCCCAAACCCACAAAACGGGCUCAACCCUCAGCAUCCCCUCCCCUCAAAAAACUGCCCGUCAUCAGUGCUCCCUCCAGAGAAGUCUCUACCCGUCGGUGCUCCCUCUCCCCCCCAAAACUGCCCACUUCUCAGUGCUCCCUCCAAACAAUCCCUACCCAUCGGUGCUCCUCUCCCCCCCCCAAAACUGCCCACUCCUCAAUCCUCCCUCCAAACAAGUCCCUACCCAUCAGUGCUUCCCUUCUCCCCCGCAAAACUGCCUCAACUUCCGAGUGCUCCCUCCAAAGAAGUCCCUACCCAUCAGUGCUCCCUUCUCCCCCCUAAAACUGCCCACUCAGUGCUCCCUCUAAAGAAGUCCCUACCCAUCAGUGCUCCCCCUCCCCCCCCAAAACCGCCCACUCCUCAGUGCUCCCUCCGAAAAAGUCUCGACCCAUCAGUGCUCCCUCUCCCCCCAAAAACUGCCCACUCCUCAGUGCUCCCUCCAAAGGAGUCCCUACCACCAGUGCUCCCUCCCUCUAAAAAAGUCCCCACCCCUCAGUGCUCUCCCCACAAGUAAUGGUGAUCAUGGUAUUUGUAAGCGCUUACUAUGUGUCAAGCACUGUUCUGAGCGCUGAGGUAGAUACAGACUCAUCAGAUUGUCCCGCGUGGGGACCGUUUUAAUCCCCAUUUUACAAAUGAGGGAACUGAGGCCCAGAGAAGUGAAGUGACUUGCCCAAAGUCACCCAGCUGACUGUUGGCAGAUCCGGGAUUAGAACCCACGACCUCCGACUCCCAAGCCUGGGCUCUUGCCACUGAGCCGUGCCGCUUCUCUAAAAGGCUGUGCUAUUUGUUAAGCACUUACUAGGUGCCAAGCACUGUUCUAAGAGCAGGGGGAGAUACAAGCAAAUGGGGUUGGAUGCAGUCCCCGUCCCACAAAGGGACUCUCGCUCUCAAUCCCCAUUUUCCAGAUGAGGGGACUGAGGCCCAGAGAAAGGAGGUGACUGGCCCAAGGUCACACAGAACUUACCCAUCACUGCUCCCCCCCCCUCCAAAAAAGUCCACACCCAUCCGUGCUCCGCAAUCAAUACCCAUCGAUCAGUGCUCCUGAUCUUCAGAAGGGCAGGUCACCCGUCGUUGCUUAGCACGGUGCUCCGCUCAUAGUAAGCGCUCAGUAAAGACGAUUGAACGAAUGAAUGAAUUGCUUCGGCCCAAACCGCUCGCACACCAAUCCUUCCCCCCCCGCCAACCUCGCUC